AACGAACGCUGGCGGCAUGCCUAACACAUGCAAGUCGAACGAGACCUUCGGGUCUAAUGGCGCACGGGUGCGUAACGCGUGGGAACCUGCCCUUAGGUUCGGAAUAACUCCCCGAAAGGGGUGCUAAUACCGGAUAAUGUCUUCGGACCAAAGAUUUAUCGCCUUUGGAUGGGCCCGCGUUGGAUUAGCUAGUUGGUAGGGUAAAAGCCUACCAAGGCGACGAUCCAUAGAUGGUCUGAGAGGAUGAUCAGCCACACUGGGACUGAGACACGGCCCAGACUCCUACGGGAGGCAGCAGUGGGGAAUAUUGGACAAUGGGCGAAAGCAUGAUCCAGCAAUGCCGCGUGAGUGAUGAAGGCCUUAGGGUUGUAAAGCUCUUUUAACCGGGAUGAUAAUGACAGUACCGGGAGAAUAAGCUCCGGCUAACUACGUG
rnacentral:rRNA from 1 species